rnacentral:lncRNA from 1 species
AUGGCUUUGCAACAAGCAUGGCGUUCUUCAAAAGAAAGACCAGUGAUCCUGGCUUCUUGCUUAAAUGGAAAUGAACUAAUCCUGCUUUAUGGUCAGCAUCACAGACAUGGAAUGGAGCCCACACAGGUGGGCUCCCUCUUGAAACAAAGAACAGAACGUGUCUUUAACAAGGUAGAGUGUCGACGGCAAAGAAAACCUCGUCGUUUAGUUGUGACAGGUUGUUUCCAAAAUAGCAGCUGUGACAACCAGCAUAAAUAUAGGCGUCUCUCGGUGCUUCGGCGCGUGUCCUCGCCGCCCUCUCAGAGCCCAGCGGGACCCAGAGGCUGUGCCACCCACGACCAAGGGGUCAAGGGCUUUUGGUGAGUACAUAUUUAUAAACUGCCCCCAAAGUCUGUGAAAACAUGGAGUGCGGGGCCAGUGCUGUGGCGUCGCAGGUAAAGCCGCUGCCUGCAGUGCUGGCAUCCCAUAUGGGCGCCAGUUCAAGUCCCGGCUGCUCCACUUCUGAUCCAGCUCUCUGCUAUGGCCUGGGAAAGCAGUAGAAGAUGGCCCAAAUGCUUGGGCCCCUGCAUCUGAGUGGGAAACCCGGAAGAAGCUCCUGGCUCCUGACUUUAGAUUGGCCCAGCUCCAGCCAUUGCAGUCUUUGGGGAGUGACCCAGCGGAUGGAAGAUUCUCUCACUUCUCUGUCUGCCUCUGCUUCUCUGUAACUCUGCCUUUCAAAUAAAUAAAUAAAUCUUAAAAAAAAAAAAAAAGAA